UCAGUCAUUCACUCUUUAAAAGAAACAAUUUACAAGUGAGAAUAAGCUAGAUAAAAACUACUGUAGCUCUUCUGCACUAUCUUGGCAGAUUUCACCAGGUACCUUCCUCUACCAGUACAGACACAGAGAUUUCAAAAGAAAGGUCUUGCAAAGAUAAGAACUCAAUGGGAGGCUGCUGAGAGAAGGAGAGAUUCCCUGGAGUCAUGCAGAAGAACUUUGAUGAUAAUGCCUUGGAGGAUGAAGCUCCAGUUUUGUUCUACAGAAUAUUAAUAUUUUCUGUAAUAAAAAUCAAACUGCUGGGAACCAAGUACUUCACAAUCUACUCUCAUCUAUGAGUGCUACUCUUCACAUGUCAAUUACUGCACUAAAUAUCUGCUCUUGUCGAUAGAGUAUGUCUUUGUAUGUUUGAAAGUUUUCAUAAGACAACCUUUUCUAUGGCUAGAAACUACAUACAAGAAGAACAAAAAUCAAAUCUCUGGCUUUACCUGUAGCAUAUGUGUUAUAUUAUGUCCCUUUCCUGUCAUGUUUUUUAGAUAAGUAAUAUCUCACAAGAAUCAAAGUAGAUGUUCAUUAGUGGUUAAAAAUUGGACAAAUGUGAUUAUUUAUGGGCUAUUCAGACAUAAUGAACUACUGUACAUAAGCCAAGACAUGAACUUCUGGAGAUUUUGCAUAUUAAGUUACAGUGGAAAUGUUGGGAAUAUCAGAGAUUAAGAGAUGAGCUCUAAAUAUGACAAUUUGUCAAAGUUCUUCUCUCAUACUAUGAAUGAGCCUCAGACUAGUGACAAACAAAAUCAGAAGGAAGUGCAGAAUAGAAUAGAGGAUUAUUUUUUUAUUUUUUUUUAAUGUGAAUAAAAAUUGCAUUGUUUAUUAAAAUAAUGUGAGUUAGCGGUAAUGUUUUCUGACAAACAAAUGAACAGUCUCCUUCUACCAAAAUGAAUACAUAUGCUUACAAA